UAAGGAAUAUUGGUCAAUGGACGCAAGUCUGAACCAGCCAUGCCGCGUGAAGGAUGAAGGUCCUCUGGAUUGUAAACUUCUUUUAUCUGGGACGAAAACGGGAUUUUUAUCUCAAUUGACGGUACCAGAGGAAUAAGCACCGGCUAACUCCGUGCCAGCAGCCGCGGUAAUACGGAGGGUGCGAGCGUUAUCCGGAUUUACUGGGUGUAAAGGGUGCGCAGGCGGAUGGGUAAGUCAGGGGUGAAAGUCUGCAGCUUAACUGUAGAAUUGCCUUUGAUACUGCUCAUCUUGAGUGUGGGAGAGGUUGAUGGAAUUCCAGGUGUAGCAGUGAAAUGCGUAGAUAUCUGGAAGAACACCAGUGGCGAAGGCGGUCAACUGGCCCAUAACUGACGCUCAUGCACGAAAGCGUGGGGAGCAAACA
rnacentral:rRNA from 1 species